rnacentral:rRNA from 1 species
CCCUACGCCCUGCCGUCGACGAUUCCUACGGGAGGCAGCAGUGGGGAAUCUUAGACAAUGGGGGAAACCCUGAUCUAGCCAUGCCGCGUGAGUGAUGAAGGCCUUAGGGUCGUAAAGCUCUUUCGCCAGGGAUGAUAAUGACAGUACCUGGUAAAGAAACCCCGGCUAACUCCGUGCCAGCAGCCGCGGUAAUACGGAGGGGGUUAGCGUUGUUCGGAAUUACUGGGCGUAAAGCGCGCGUAGGCGGAUUAGUCAGUCAGAGGUGAAAUCCCAGGGCUCAACCCUGGAACUGCCUUUGAUACUGCUAGUCUAGAGUUCGAGAGAGGUGAGUGGAAUUCCGAGUGUAGAGGUGAAAUUCGUAGAUAUUCGGAGGAACACCAGUGGCGAAGGCGGCUCACUGGCUCGAUACUGACGCUGAGGUGCGAAAGUGUGGGGAGCAAACAGGAUUAGAUACCCUGGUAGUCCACACCGUAAACGAUGAAUGCCAGUCGUCGGCAAGUAUACUUGUCGGUGACACACCUAACGGAUUACGCAUUCCGCCUGGGGAGUACGGUCGCAAGAUUAAAACUCAAAUGAAUUGACGG